CGGUCUCGACGUUGAUGAUGUCUCUCUAAUAAUCUCGGCCCUAACCUCCACGUCGGUGUCAACCUUGACGUCGGCGCCAACCUCGAUGUCAGUGACGUUUUUCUCAAUAACCUCAGCGUCAACCUCGACGUCAGUGACUUCUUUCUCAAUAACCUCGGCGCUAACCUAGAUGUCUGUGUCAACCUCGACGUCGGAUCCAACCCCGACGUCAGUGACGUCUUUCGCAAUAACCUCAGUGUCGACCUCGACGUUGGAGUCUCGUCGUCGGCCCUUGGCGUCAACGUCGACGUCGCCGUAGGCGUUUUCCUCGACUUAGGUGUCGAUCUCGACGUCUUUCUCUAUACCCUCGGCGUCAACCUCGACGUCGGUGACGUCUUUCGCAAUAACCUCAGUGUCGACCUAGACGUCGGUGUCGACCUCGACGUCGGUGCUAACCUUGACUUCGGCGCCAACCUUGACGUAGGCAACGUCUUUCGCAAUAACCUAAGUGUCGACCUUGACAUCGGCUUCUCGUCGUCAGUGUAGGCGUUUUCCUCAAUAACCUCACCUCAACGCCGACCUUGACCUCGAUGUCUGUGUCGAUCUCAAAGUCAGUGACAUCUUUCUCAAUAACCUUAGCGUCGACCUCGACAACGGCGUAGGCGUUUUUCUCAAUAACCUCACCUUAGCGCCGACCUCAAUGAGGGUGUCAAUCUCGGCUUCGUCAACAUAGGCAUCCUCAUAAUAACCUCAGCAUCGACCCCGACGUCGGCCUAGAUGAUGACGACGACUGCCGCAAUGACUGUCACCGGCG
rnacentral:lncRNA from 1 species